AACGAACGCUGGCGGCAGGCUUAACACAUGCAAGUCGAGCGCCCCGCAAGGGGAGCGGCAGACGGGUGAGUAACGCGUGGGAAUCUACCCAUCCCUACGGAAUAGCUCCGGGAAACUGGAAUUAAUACCGUAUACGCCCUACGGGGGAAAGAUUUAUCGGGGAUGGAUGAGCCCGCGUUGGAUUAGCUAGUUGGUGGGGUAAAGGCCUACCAAGGCGACGACCCAUAGCUGGUCUGAGAGGAUGAUCAGCCACAUUGGGACUGAGACACGGCCCAAACUCCUACGGGAGGCAGCAGUGGGGAAUAUUGGACAAUGGGGGCAACCCUGAUCCAGCCAUGCCGCGUGAGUGAUGAAGGCCUUAGGGUUGUAAAGCUCUUUCACCGGGGAAGAUAAUGACGGUACCCGGAGAAGAAGCCCCGGCUAACUUCGUGCCUGCCGCCGCGGUAA
rnacentral:rRNA from 1 species